rnacentral:tRNA from 1 species
AUUUAGAUAGCUUAUAAUUAGAGCAUAGCAUUGAAGAUGCUAAGGAAAUUUUUUAAUUUUUAAAUA